CCUAAGAUGGAGGGUGGUGCUGAGGCGAGCGACUUAUACUCUGCCAUUGAUGCAUAUGUGAGGUCCUGAUAAGCAGGAAGGGUUCUAGGCAAAAGGAAG
rnacentral:rRNA from 15 species